AAGAACCAGGGCUAGAUGUUGCAGAAGGUAUCAGCCCAGCCAACCUUUGGCUAAGAGAGCAGUUAGGAAGAGAAAACAUUCAGAAUCAUUCUCCUUUGCUUAUGCUUGUGAUUCCCUCAUAGGAGGGCUCCCUCCUGAGACAAGGACAAAAAAGGAUGCCUUGGUGAAGAGGAUGGGAAGCAGGAAAAAUCAAGGUGCACUUCAGUAAAGGUUGGUGGCUGGCCGCCUCCCAGGGCCUCUGAAGGAACAGCAUUCCAUGCCGCCUAAUUACCUGCCCAACACAGGCUGGAUGGCUUCUUCAAUCUCACGUUGAUCCCAGCUGCUGAGAGCUUCAGUGUAGACUGAUCAGAGACAUUUUCACUCUAUUCCCCCUUUUUUAGAAGCCUUGCUCAGAGACUCAAGGAGGCAGUCACUUGCUAAUGGCCGAUGACUCCCGCCAUAGUGACAGAGUUCUGGGACUGGAGUCAGGAAGACCCAAGUUCAAAUGCGGCCUCAGUGA